rnacentral:tRNA from 1 species
AGGCGAGUAGCUCAGUUGGCAGAGUCGCGGUCUCCAAAACCGUUGGUCGUGGGUUCGAGUCCUACCUCGCCUGCCA